rnacentral:lncRNA from 1 species
GUUUUUAGUCUGUAGAUUCUCUAAACUGUUUUUUUCAAAACAAAAAGAAAUAGUAAUCAACUAAACUUUUAGUCUAAAGUUUACAAAAUGGAAAUGUGCUGUGAACUUAACAAUCUACGUGAAAUGGUGGUUCAAUCUAUAAGUCAAGAAUCUACCAAAGUGUUGUCUGAAAUAGCAACCUGCAAGAAU